UAAUCUAGGUAGGAGCAGACCUUGAGAGUCUGUAGACAUAGGAGAAAUAGCCAUGAUGGACAUUUUCUGCACACACUGUCAGCAUCCACAUGUGGACAAGAGGAAGGCUCUGCUAUCCCUCUGUGCCUGAGCGGGGAGGACUUUGCUGUUUUCCCAUGCGUCUGAGGCGAUGGCGUCCGUGGUCUGGCACACAUUCGCUCAGCUCUUCCUCGGUUCCUCAGAUCUCCAUCUGUUUUAUUGCUUAGAUGUUCGGGUAGAUCCUUUUUAGUUCAGAUUCAGUUUGCUGCAGUAUCCAACACCAGACUGGAAAGAUAAUAAAAAUCAAGAUCGUAAUAGCUGCUAUGCUCAAGAAAAACAAAAGGAAUGUUCUAGGAGGUUUAAGGGAUUGGCCUCAUCCAACCAACUGUCAAUCAUUUAUUGUGGGCCCAUCCACCCAGGAGGUGAGUCUCAACUAACUUCCAGUUAUCCUGUCUAAAUUGAAGGGCUGUAACAUGCUCUGAAGAGUUCAUCAGUGCUCAUUAGUUAGAGUAGAAGAAAGACUUCCUCAUAAACAGGUACUGGAGGAUGUGACUAACCACUGGAUAAAACAGCAUUGGCCAGCAGUCUCUCUCCUGGCCAGCCUUGCUUGCACGGAUACAAUAACCGGACACAAACUGGUUAGUGUUUAAAGCUGCCAAGGUUUUUCUCUUUGGCUGCUAAUCUCCACCACCACCUGGAAGCCACCUGGGCUCCUCUGCUGCAUUGGGCCACAUUCGGUUCCUGGGGGUUGCAUGGUAGAAGAGAGCCAAUUCUUGGAGGUUUUCCUUGAAGUUUUCCAAACUUCACAAGGACAUCAUGGUACAUUAUUUUAAGGUUCAUAAGAAAAUGAAAGAUUUCCCACCAACAUCAUGCCCUCAACCCGCAGCCUCUGCCAACAUUAGCCACUGAGCCAGAGGUGCAGUCUGUCACAGCGAUGAGCCCUUCCUGACAAGCACACAUCCUGCCUUCCCGCUGUGGGAGGGGCUUCUGUUGGCUCACAGUUCGAGGCAUCGACACUCCAUUGGCUCACAGUUCGAGGCAUCAACACUCCGGAAGCAGAGAGACCGACACCUAUGCCCAGCUCGCUUUCUCCUUUGUAUCCAGUCCAGGCGCCCAUCCUAGGGACGAUGCUAUCCACACUUAGUGUGGAUCUUCCCUCCUCAGUUUAUCUAAGCUGAAAACUCCCUCAUGGGUGUGCCCAGUGGCUUGUCUCUGUGUGAGGCUAGAUCCUAUUGACAAUCAAGACCACCAUGCAGGGGCCUUUCUUCUUCAGGCAUGUGCCUGUUCUAGAACAUUCGAGAGUCAGAAACGUAUGGCGUGCGGCCUUCCUCGAUGACUUCACACGCUGUGUAUACUUACCCUCUUGUGUCUCUCCAUACCCUGGCAGCUCGGUUCUUUUUAGUCUUGAAUGUUGACAGCCCCUACCUGACCACCCCAGCUUAUUCAUAGCUUUACUUCCUAAAGAACACCUUGGCUGUUUUCAGGUGUUUGGCUGUUAUGAAUAAAGCUCUUAUAAGCAUCCACA